rnacentral:rRNA from 1 species
AUUGAACGCUGGCGGCAGGCUUAACACAUGCAAGUCGAACGCGUGUCGGACGGGUGAGUAAUGCCUGGGAAUCUUCCUUUUGCAUGGUGAUCACUACGGGAAACUGUAGCUAAUACCGCGUACCAUAGGAUGAGCCCAAGGGGGAUUAGGUAGUUGGUGAGGUAAAGGCUCACAAAGCCGACGAUCUCUAGCUGGUCUGAGAGGAUGACCGGCCACACUGGGACUGAGACACGGCCCAGACUCCGACGGGCGGCAGCAGUGGGGAAUAUUGCGCAAUGGGGGCAACCUGACGCAGCCAUGCCGCGUGAAUGAAGAAUGCCUUCGGGUUGUAAAGUUCUUACGGUAACAAGGCGGUAGCAACAGAAGAAGCACCGGCUAACUCCAUGCCAGCAGCCGCGGUAAUAC